rnacentral:rRNA from 1 species
CAAUAGCGUAUAUUAAAGUUGUUGCAGUUAAAAAGCUCGUAGUUGGAUUUCGGGGCAGCCUGGCUGGUCCGCCGCAAGGCGAGUACUGGUCAGCCGCCCUUCCUCUCGAAAGCCCCGACUGCUCUUUACUGUAGUGGUCGGGUAGUUCGGGACGUUUACUUUGAAAAAAUUAGAGUGUUCAAGGCAGGCCUACGCCUGAAUACAUUAGCAUGGAAUAAUGGAAGAGGACCUCGGUCCUAUUUUGUUGGUUUCCAGGGCCGAAGUAAUGAUUAAGAGGGACAGUUGGGGGCAUUCGUAUUUAAUUGUCAGAGGUGAAAUUCUCGGAUUUAUGAGAGACGAACAACUGCGAAAGCAUUUGCCAAGGAUGUUUUCAUUAA